UUCUCAAGAUAUUUAAUACAAUUAAUAUUUUACUUACUUAUUUGAUAAUUAAUUAAAUGAUAAGCCUCAUAUCUCGCUUCUCCUUUCAACACUUCUACAAUUAUUUAUUUCUGAAAUAUCUAAUAAACGAUCAUAAUUGAAUUAUUACCGUCACAAAAUGUUAUAAAACUAGCAAAAUAACAAGAUGAUUAAAGUUAUUUAUUUUAACGAACACACGACACGAUACGUCAACUCCUUACAUAAAUUAAAACAAUGAAACUGCACGCAAGAUUUUCACGCAAGGUUCCCUAUAUAAAAUUCAUUCUUUUUUUUUUCCAUAUCAAUUAAAGAAUUAACAAAUUUAAUCUUGUCAAAAUUAAUUCUUCCCCUCCGCUUGUCCAACGCUUAUUUGCUUUCUUCGCGAGAAGGAGAAGGAGAUUGACGCGUGAUAAUUUUUAAAAAUUCAACAAACACGUCAGACAUUCUAAUGUUCGUUUGGUAUACUUGCGAAGGAAGAAAUGUAAAACAGGAUGUGGCGAAGAAUGGUAUGAAGGUGGCGGUUAUUGGUAAAACGAGCUCGAUUUACCAAUCGAAAUCACGGUUUUCUUCGCGAUCGAUAUCGUUUGUAAAUAAGCUGACGCGAUAGAUUUAAUGGCAACGGGAUGCCAUGCGUUUUGAUCGAUUGUUUUUUAAAACGCCGAUAAUAAGCGUGUCUGAUUAAGGAACCUGUGCUGACAGUAUCUCUGGCAGGCCGAUGCAUUCCACAGUUUAUUCUCACACCUAUCAAAUGGUGGUGUGCGAAAACAUUUACGAUUCAAUCGUGCAACAAAGAAAGUAGGGAGAAUGUUGAGGCUUUGCGUUUCUUCGACCGGUUGACAAAUGAAAAGGAGAACAAUUUGGAAAAUAAUCGUAUUAUGAUAUUAAUUCUUUAAACACCUGAGCUCUUUGUUUUCUUUAAGAUUUUAACUUCAAUUUGUUUGUACCUUGCGCAUGAUAUACUCGUAACGAGAGAUCAAUCGUGCUUCUAUUUUUCAAUCUAUUUUCUUUUUUUAAUAAUUUUUCAAUUAUUUAAAACUCGAAAAGAAAACUUCGAUUCGUUAGAAUUCUAUAUAAUUUUGUUUAACGUUUAAUGUUUAAUGGAUUAUUAUUAAAUUCACUCAAUCGAACUCUGAAUCUCUGAAUCGUUAUGUGAAAAUUGAUAAAUUUCAUUUUCGGCCUUGAUGCGAAAUUAAAUUGAAGAUGGAUAUAAAUGAACGCUCUAUAUUUAAGUAGAAAUGUAUCUACCAUAAUUACAGCUCUCUCUCGCGUAUAAAACAUUCUUCGGGUAAAAGAAACUUUUCCGCAACGCAACACCAGAAUUACAUUUCGUCUGUUUCACCGCGAUCAAAAACACAUAUCUAAAUCACCUAGGUAAAUUCACUCUACAACUAAACAAACUUGCUUUCUACUCCAAUUCCUCGUAUCAAACCGACAUACCGAUGUCGGUUUAAAACGCUUAAUAAAUCCGCCUAAGUGAAACUUGAAUUAAAUUUUUAAUCAUCCGUUUCGAUGUGUACGCGUUUAUUCGAAUUUCUAUUCGAUUUCCUGAAACGUAAUCGAACGACAAAUCCUUUAAUUAUAUUCGACAAUUCUGUCUCGAAUACCACUUUCAGUUCAGUCGAUAUAUACAAUUUAAAUCUUAGUUCCUCGUUUAUAUAUCAGUAUGUGAAACAAUGGCCAGGGCCAGUGAUGGGAUCGAGUAUCUCGCGAGUUGGAUCAAACUUUGAUUGAACUUAUACAUAUUUGUAUGCAGAUAUUUCCAAAUACACUUAAACAGAGUGAAAUAGAUUCAAACACUUUUACAUAUAUUUUGGAAAAUAAAAAUAAUACUUUAUUCGAGGCGCAUUUGAAACUUUCGUACGAAUUUUAUCAAAAAAAUUCUCUGAUCUUGCUUUUAAAAUUAUAAUUAUAAUUUUGUGUAUAAUUUAAUCCUAAAUUUUAUAUAAUGAUCGUAUCCUCAGAAACAACGUUCUUCGAAAAGAAGAAAAAUUUUAAUUAAAAAAAAAUUAAAAAAAAAAAAAGGGAAAGUAAAAGUAAAAUAUCCUAUUGAAUUUUUAAAUAAUUCGAUAAGUAAAUUGCAAUUGUAAGAAUCAUAUAUAAGUUACACGAGAUCUGUUGCACAUUUUUUGAUUCGAGUAGUGAAAGAUUCGAUUCUUUCCAAGCGCGAAAUUUGCCGAAACAAAAUUACUUUUAUGCUAAAAGUGCAAUGGAUUGCCUCUGAAUGAUAUUCGAAGAUAUAACAUUGAGAUUGUUAAAAUUGCAUCUUGGAUGAUACGAGAAUCUAUAGAACUCGAUCCCAUCCCUAUCGAUAAGAUGGCAAUCGAUCGUGCGAAAAGGAGGUGUGCCUUGGCUUGAUUCGACGUCAAUUAUUCCUCGGCGUCAACCUAUUAAUUAACACCGUCCUGUCCUGUAACUUUCUCCACCGUGUCGUGAUUGUUCCGAGAGAGGCUCUCGAAACCACCACCUCCGCCGGUUGGAUGCCUCGGAUGGAAAACGGAACCCAUUUCGUAGAAAAUGGGUCGUUGCACACCCGCGAAUUAAUUAGCGCCCGAACAACGUGGACGCCUAAUUUGGCGAAGACGUUUAACGAGGGCCGUUUAUAAUCGAGGAAUUCGUGGCCCCUCGAUCGAAUGGCUAGAAUCUAAAUCACGAGGAACAGACUUGAUCGAUCUUUUUUCUAUCGAACAAUGUAUCGUUUUAUCUCAUCGAUUUUUUUUUUUUCUUCCUUUUUUAGAUUUACAUUUUUGUUGAACGUUUCGACUAGAGUGUGUUUUUGUCGACAGGUUAUUUGUUUAUAUUUGUGCAAAUUUAUAUUUUACACGAAUCAACGAAAUGGAAAAUUUUGUUCUUUUUCUCGAAUACUUGUGAUACUUUAUUUUUUUAGAUUUUAUAUCUGCAACGGAUCAUGAUGAAUUGUGAUGAAUAUAUUAGAAAUUAAAAUUGAAAUUAUUUAAAUUGUUCGAUUAUUGAUCCGAAAGUUACAGAAAUUUUAAUUGAACAUUUUUAUACACUGAAAAUGUUUUGUGUUUCUUUUAAUUUUUAAAAUGAAUCCAAACAUAUUUUAUAUAUACAUGAAAUGAAUAAUUUAAAUAAAAAUUCGACGAAACAAUUUAAUUUAAACAACUUAGUUGAUCUUGAAUUAUCAAACUAGUAUUUGGAUAGCGUGAAUUUUAGUAUUUCCCAGCAACCUUUGGCAACGUCAUCGGUGGCCUAGAUCAGAAAUUAUUAGCACGACUUUAACAAUGCGACCAGGUAUAAAAGAAUGAAGUGUUUUCAAAACCAGAUGAAUAUCGCUGUAUUCGAAAACGUAUGCACAAACUCACAGUUCGUGAUCAUUUUCCACGUUUUUACGCGACCAUUCCGUUGUCUUUCCAUCGUUUGUUGCAAACUUUCGUUCCUGACUUUCGUUGGAAUAAUAUUUUUUCGAUCAUCUUCACCAUUUCGCUCAAUAAAUAAUUUCGAAUUAGACGAUGACGUUAUAAAAUCAAUGUUCCCAAAGACGAAACGUUUUCUUAUUAAAAUUAAAAUUAUCAAAAUAGUAUUAUUUUUAAUUAAAAUAAAAUAGAUAAAUAUAAAAUUAUUAAUCUUAUUAAAUUUAUCGAUAAUAGUUUCAUAUUUAAAUAAAGCAAAGCAGAAAUCUAUCCAAAAUUUCUCCAGCCAGAAUUUUACUUUUGCAUAGCGAGUAAACAUUUUCUACGAAAAUUACACAAGAAAUUCGUAGAAUUAAUGAAACGAUAAUUUUUAUUUUGCAACAAUUAAUAAAUUAAAAAGUUUGUUAAAAUAUAUGAAAAAGAAUUGUGUAAUUAAUUAUUAUCCAAACAUUCGUUUGCCCUUAUUUAAUAUUCGUCGCGAUUAAAUGCUUUAAUAUUCAAUGGUCGAAAGUUGAUUUGUGGCGUUUGGUGAAUUCUAGGGGAAUUGCAGCAAAUCGUUAAAUAGUAAAUUACACCACUACUCGUUCAUAUAAAUUCACUAGUUAACUGGGAAUUCGCGUUGAUUGGACGCGUGUCCCGCCGGCUUUUCGAAGCCUUGGCAUUAAUGGAAUUUAUAAGUUCAAACUGAAGAUCAAGAACAAAAAUGGCUCCCUUGGGUGGCUCUUAGAAAUUAUCGAGAAAUCACCAUCGAUUAUCGAUUCCCUCGAAAACAAAAUUCACCACGUCGAAAUUGUUAUAUAUUCUUUCGAAAAUUAAUUUGAUAUUGAAAUCGGCAAAUUUUUAUAUACAGAUUAAAAUAUCAUAAUAUAAGAAAAAAAUAUGCAAGUCAAUAAAAACACGUUUAUUAAAUUAUUCAAUUUCGAGUUAGACGAAGUGCAAUCGAGAUAAUAUAAAAGUAAUUUCGUUAAAUUAAAAUCUACUGUGUCUUCGAUAAUAUAUUCAUAGAUUAAAAUUUUUUGCAAUAAAAAAAAAAUAAAUAAAAAGAAAGUUUAACUGGAAAAAGAAAGAUGGAGUCAGGCUCCGACCAGGGUUAAGAAACGAAUAGAAGGCAGUUAAAGGUAUUGAUGAUUCACGAGAAUCUGUCAGUGUGCGGUGGACGAGGUCUUUGAAUUCGUUGUAUUAUGAUACAAUGCCAAGCGUGGGCCGAGAAGAUUCGCAAAUCUAACAUGCGUGGGCGGUGUGCGUGGAUGCAAUAUUAAUCACUGGUAAAUGAGAAUUUUGCUGGAUUAGACGUUAACCUGCGAAGACUAUGAUCUAUGAGUGUUACCGUGUUUCGUCUCUGCACAAACUGUUUGAUCUCUCCAUCCUUGACUCAACUUAGAGUUUCGUUCCUUCUUAUUCCUUAUAUUUCUUCUAAUUUAAAACUUCCUGCUAAUUUCUCCCCCAAGAUCCGUCUCAAAAGUUUCUUUCUCUGAAACCAAUCUUAAUUUGUCAAUGUUUGUAACAUCGAUUCCAACGAUUUAUUAAUAUUCAUUAAUAAUGGAAUACUUGAAGUUCUCUAAUACUUGAAAAUAUUACUAUAGUUAUCUGAAUUCUCUUGAAGCGAAUUUCAAAAAUCAAAAUUUAUUUUAAAAAUCCGAUUCUUAACGAUAUCUCUGUAAAAUAAAUGAAAGCAUUUUUCAAAUAUUCCUCGGACUUGAUCAAACAGACUUGAUCUUAAAUUUUAUUUAUAUAAAGUAAUACUUGCUCGAUCGUUAGAACAAAGAAGAUAAAAGCUGAAUUGACGACAUUAGUCGAAAAAAGAAUCGCAGCAGGAAGUAGUUGGCAUUUUGCGUCGCAGAUGGUAGACCGAGAGAUAUCUGGUGAAAAAACAGAUCCGUAAUCAUUUCGCUUAUCUUUAGCCCCGAUAAAAGCUGCGAACGAUCGCUCGUCUUUGGUGGUCCCAAUCUAAGGCCCAAGUUCGAGAGCCAAGAUUCUCUCGAGUGGGCGCUAAACGUGUUCUCUGAACACGCGUGAUAGGAUUCGCAAAGAUAGUUGGAAAGAACUUUCGUUUCUCAGCUUAGGCACUUCGAAUAUUUUCACCUGGCAAUCGAUCGUCUAGCUCUGUUUAUCGAAUACUGCGCGCGAUAUAUUCUUGAUAUAUUGUUGAGGAAAUCUUUGGUUUGGAAAUUGUAGAUUUUCGAAAAGAAUAGAGCAAGAAUCGAGAGAUAUUUUCGUAAAUUUGGCUUGUUUGAAUAUUUAAAGAAGUGAUGGUAUUUAAUUGAUAAAAUUUUUGUUUUUUUUUAUAUGUAUAUCUCAUUCUCUUAGUUUUAAUUUUAAUAGUUGGUAUAAUAAUUUUUUAUGGGUCCAUUUUUAAUUUCAGUCACUUGAUUAAUAAUUAAUAAUUCUUGCAAUGGAAUUAAAAAUUACGAGUUUUACAAGUGUUUUAUUUUUCAUUUGACAAAUGUAUACAUGUAUAUUUUAAACCAUACGAGUUGCGAUUGAACAAUGAUUAAGUGUUACAAUCAUUAUUGUAUCAUGUGUGUAUGAUUGUCAGAGUCAAAUUGAUAAUUUAUCUCAGUUCUCAUAUCUGUUUAAUAAAACAUUCGGGAAAACUAUCUACAGGAUAAUCUAAUCACGUCAAUGGAUUGAAACAGUUUUAUGCAGUUUGAAUCAUCGGUGAUUCUAAUAAUAUAUCGACGCAUUAUAUUUUUCCAAUCUAUUGUCGACGAUUUAAAUAAAUACGUUUUUAUUUCAAAUAUACUUUUCAAUGUAUCAUGUAACGAAUUCUCUCGAUGGUCGACUCGUAACGGAACGAUGGAAGGCCACUUGUCCCCGAAACUUCAAAUUCCACUACGAAAUCCUUCGAUUCUACGGCAAGGUCUUGGAAAAAUUACUUUGAAACGAGGACAAACUUCUACAAACGACGCCCGAUUUCAUAUCUUCCCCCUAAUGCCAUUACUUAAUACCUCGGGGAUCUUUUAGACGUCCCAGUUCGUCUUUUACACCAUUUUCAAAGAGAGAAAGAGAGAGGGAGAGAAAGGAUCGAUGCGGAUUUAUUAACCCCUCUAAGGGCAAAUAUUUGUAGUCGAGAGAUGAAAUAUUUUUUCUUCGUGAAAAUUUUAUAGAAAUAUCGAGAUUUCAAUGAAAUAAAUAAUAUCUAAUUUUAAUUUUCUAAAAUUUCUUUCGUCCCUUUUACCUAUUCAAAUACAAAAAUUCAUAGAUACGUAAAAAUAUCAGUUUAUUCAUUAAAUAAUCCUGUUUCUUAGAAAAGCUGAACAAAGAUACCCAAUUUAAAUUACUUAAUUUAAUAGAAUAUUAAAUAUAAAAAAACCUCCAUUUCAAUUCUAAAAUAAAUCCUGAUCUAUCCAACACGUCCCAUUUUCUUUUCUUCAAAAUCUCCAUCCUCCGAAGGAUAUCCUCCCACGGAUUGAUGGGGGAGAGAAAAGAAAAAAAAAUGAUAAAUGAAAUAUACUUCAACCAAAGUGGCCAAUAAAUCUGGCCGGUGUUCGUUCUCACGCAAUAUCAUCGCGUGUUAACCCUUUGAUCGAAGAAAACAGCUCCACGAUUGAUAGGAAGAGAGAGAGAGGGAGCACGAUCGCGUGAACUUUGACCGCCCCCUACGGUCGUUGCACGACGUUCAAUCCCCCUUUAAUGAAAGAAGCAGUUCGCGCUCACGUGGCAAACGUCGUUCAACACGUGCCACUCGACUCGUGCGUGCAUCAUUCGAACACGUGUGUGCGUAUGUGCAUAUCGUGCACACGGAUCGGUUCAUUCAUGAAGGCGGAACUUCUUAAAGCGAGCGCGCUCCUCUCACCUGGUCGUCGUGACAACGAGUAUUUUCAUUCAUAACGAGAUCGAGAUGAGUCACCUACGAGCAACAACAGCGUUUCGUCAACGAGAGGAUUAUCUGAUGCCUGGCGCUCAAAUGCAAAAGUAUCUCGUAUUAUUACGCGUAGAGUCGAGGAGCAGUUGAAAUACGCGGCGAUUAGAACGAAUGGCGAACGAAGGAAUGCUUUGCUUUCGUCGUUUCGCUUGUUUGCGUUGUAUCAUUCGGAAUUGAAUACGGUUCCAAUGGUUAAAAUCGGGAUACGCUAUUAACACGUCGCGAAUUAUAAUGAAAAAUCUUUCAAUUAUUCGCGAUGUUAUGAGAAGAACGUCAAAAAUUGUAAAGGGUCUGUUCCUUUAUGAGAAGAGUAAACUGUAAACAACUUCUGUAAUUUCACGAGCAGCCAACAAAGUAGAUAGUUUACCUAUCUGACGACGAGUUCGGUCGUCAAAGUUUGGCCGUUAAUGGUCGAAACGCAUUAAACGUGACUCACUUCCGCUGCAGGCUAAUGCACAAUUGCUAGUUUAAUCGCGAGGAACGGCACGAACUGGUCAUUUCUUACUAAUCGGUACACGUGAUCUCGUUCGUUUCCUCGACAGAUUUCGAUGACGUUUCAACCGGCUACUACCUUCAAACCUUAUCUCUAUGAACGUCCCACGCUUAUCUGUCGCGCCGAGGAUUACAACUGGAAAUACUUCUUUUUUUUUGUGGACGUCACAUAUCUUGUACAGGAUAAAACUUGUUUGGAAUAAUUAAAGUUAACAUUGUGAUGUUAUAGGAGCGUAAAUAGAUUCGAGGAACGUAACGAGUAUAUAUAUAACGAUAAUGAUAAUUAAACGAGAGGAGAUUUAUAGUGCUUGAAUAGAGUAGAGAUUAUUAUUGAUAUUCAGCGUAUUUUAAUAAAGAGAUAACCGUGUAUAUAAUGAUAAAUUGCGUAAAAGUGAGUCAACUUAUUUCAAAAGUGAAAGCGAAAAUGUAUGAUAUGUACGAAUAUUGGGUUUGAUAGGAAUAAUUUAAUUUAACGAAUUUGUUGGGUGCAAUGGAUUAUUACGCAAUAUUCACGAAGAAAAGUACGAAAUUUUAUUUACGCAAUUUUUAAUAAAUGUCAAGUCCUCGAAAGAUAUAUCAAAAUAUUACUAUUUUUAUAAAUAAUAAAUAUUAUUAUUAAUAAACGUUAUAACUAAGUUAUAAACGAGCUGUAAAAAAAAAAUUUAAUCCAAAGACACUUCCUUUUCGCAAUAAAAAUGAAAAAAUAAA